GACGAACGCUGGCGGCGUGCCUAAUACAUGCAAGUCGACCUUAGUGGCGAACGGGUGAGUAAAACGUGGGUAACCUGCACAUCAGAAGGGGAUAACACUUGGAAAAAGGUGCUAAUACCGUAUACUGAUGGAUGGACCCGCGGUGCAUGAGCUAGAUGGUGAGGUAACGGCUCACCAAGGCCACGAUGCAGAGACGACCUGAGAGGGUGAUCGCCCACAUGUGGACUGAGACACAGCCCAAACUCCUACGGGAGUCAGCAGUAGGGAAUCUUCGGCGAUGGACGAAAGUCUGACCUAUCAACGCCGCGUGAGUGAAGACGGUUUUCGGAUCGUAAAACUCUGUUGUUAGAGAAGCGGUAUCUAACCAGAGAGCCACGGCUAACUACGUGCCAGCAGCCGCGGUAAUUC
rnacentral:rRNA from 1 species